rnacentral:misc_RNA from 1 species
UGUGGCUUCUCAAGAUUGGCCAGAAGUUACAAAAUAUGCUGGUUUGGUUAGUGCUCAAGCCCACAGGCAAGAGCUUAUUCAAGAUCUUUUCAAAACAUGGCAGGAUCCUGUUAGAGGGACAGUAACGGGUGGAAUGAUCAAGGAACUCCUCAUCUCCUUCCGUAGAGCAACUGGACAGAAACCUCAACGAAUUAUAUUUUACAGGGAUGGGGUUAGCGAAGGACAGUUCUACCAAGUUUUGUUGCAUGAGCUGGAUGCGAUUAGAAAGGCAUGUGCUUCUUUGGAACCAAACUACCAACCACCUGUGACAUUCGUUGUGGUACAGAAGCGUCAUCACACUAGAUUGUUUGCUAACAACCAUUCUGAUCGCCAUGCAGUAGACAAGAGUGGGA